rnacentral:lncRNA from 1 species
ACCAAGUUUCUCAUCCACCCUACCAAGAACUCUUCUUUUUAUUUCUACUUCAUUUAUGCUCCCCUUUCCUUAUCUUCUCGUUUUCUUUAUGGAUACCAAUGAAGCACCCAGGGCUAAGAGAGUCAACAGUCCAUUUCCUUGGGCAGGUGAGGAGCCUCUGUGUGCUGCCCAGGAGAAGAGAGGAGGACCACCAUGCAACAAAGACUACUCCUAAUUUACCACUCAGAAGCACUGCUUUCAAAGAUCCAGAGCCCUUGGGAGCAAAGGGGACACAGACUUGCAGCAGAAAUCACUGUCACAGGAAUGAAGAUUUCAACCAGAUGUGGAUCCUGUUUGAAGCAUCUAAGCUUUCCUAUGCUCAUCUUUAUGUCCACACUUCAUCUGCACAAUGGGAAUAAUUAUAUGGAGCAGAUUCAGAUUCAGAGUAGUGGUCAUCUUGAACUGCUGCCCAGCAAGUCCCCCCUCCCCAUGGACAAACUGCUGAAUACAGUGAAGCUUAAUAACCUCGAGGGGAAUUUUGCACAGGAAAAAUACCAUUUUGCAGAAACUGUACAAAUUUCAUGCAGAUUGGUGCUUCUUUUGGGAGGGGGAAAGACGCCAUGAAACAUCCAAAAAAAUUCACAGGAUUUUGGAAUAACAAAAAAUAAUGCCCAGAGAAAUCUUUCUGCCAAGAGUGAGAAGCUGGGAGUCUAAUUCUUAAUGCUGAUACAUGUUAACAUUUGCUCUUUAAAUCCCUUCACUGUGUGCAUAUUGUAAUACAAAUUAAAAUAUUGUUUUAAAGUGCUGCUUCUGUGCACUGGGACAUGUAAACAUUUUUUUCUUUCACCUGACAGUUCCCCUGCAAACUUUUUAUCACCUGUCAACCUCACCUAAAAAUUUACUAAAAAUAAGAUGCACUUUGAGAGGUAUGAAAAGGCUUGUGGAAACAUAUGGCAAUCAUAUGAAACUCCUCCCCCUCCCCCAGUUAACAAGAGCAGAAU